rnacentral:rRNA from 1 species
UGAACGCUGGCGGCGUGCUUAACACAUGCAAGUCGCACGAGAACGCUUCAGCUUGCUGAGGCUAGUAAAGUGGCGCACGGGUGAGUAACGCGUGGGUAAUCUCCCCCCGAAUUGGGGAUAACAUCGCGAAAGCGAUGCUAAUACCGAAUGAUAUCUGAAAAAUCCCGAUUUUUUGGAUCAAAGGUGGCCUCUACAUGUAAGCUACUGUUUGGGGAUGAGCCCGCGUACCAUUAGCUUGUUGGUAGGGUAAUGGCCUACCAAGGCUACGAUGGUUAGCUGGUCUGAGAGGAUGAUCAGCCACACUGGAACUGACACACGGUCCAGACUCCUACGGGAGGCAGCAGUGAGGAAUUUUGCGCAAUGGGGGAAACCCUGACGCAGCAACGCCGCGUGAGUGAUGAAGGCUUUCGGGUCGUAAAGCUCUGUCAAGUGGGAAGAAAACAUAUGGUGACAAUACCGCUGUAUGCUGACGGUACCACUGAAGGAAGCACCGGCUAACUCC